UCCUCUCGCGCAUGCGCGUUUGAAGAGGGGAGCCGGUGCUAAGUUUGAAUGUACAGUACUGUACGUGCACUGGUAGAUGUCAUGUACAGUAUGUUGAAUUGUGGUUGUUGUUUUAAUGAUUCCCCCUGCGCCUCGUUUAUGUCAUAGUGGGUCUUUCCCCCCCCCUGUAGGCAGAACUGCACGCAAACAGUGCAGAAAUGUGAGAAAGUGCGUCAGUGGUCAGCAAAAAGCAAAUCUGUUAGAAAAGAACCACAACUUAUAGCGCAACCGUAAGGAAAAUACUACUGCAGCAUUUGGGACUUAGAGAAAAGAGAUCAAGCUCACUUUGUCAGAUGCAUGAAGUGUUGGUGCUGACCUUUAAAGCCCUA